GAAGUGGGGAUGACGUCAAGUCCUCAUGGCCUUUAUGCCCAGGGCUACACACGUGCUACAAUGGGCGGUACAAAGAGAAGCAACCUCGCGAGGGUGAGCAAAUCUCAAAAAGCCGUUCUCAGUUCGGAUUGAAGUCUGCAACUCGACUUCAUGAAGUCGGAAUCGCUAGUAAUCGCGGAUCAGCAUGCCGCGGUGAACUACGUUCCCGGGCCUU
rnacentral:rRNA from 1 species